GUCUGAUGGAGCACGCCGCGUGAGUGAAGAAGGGUUUCGGCUCGUAAAACUCUGUUGUUAAAGAAGAACAUAUCUGAGAGUAACUGUUCAGGUAUUGACGGUAUUUAACCAGAAAGCCACGGCUAACUACGUGCCAGCAGCCGCGGUAAUACGUAGGUGGCAAGCGUUGUCCGGAUUUAUUGGGCGUAAAGCGAGCGCAGGCGGUUUUUUAAGUCUGAUGUGAAAGCCUUCGGCUCAACCGAAGAAGUGCAUCGGAAACUGGGAAACUUGAGUGCAGAAGAGGACAGUGGAACUCCAUGUGUAGCGGUGAAAUGCGUAGAUAUAUGGAAGAACACCAGUGGCGAAGGCGGCUGUCUGGUCUGUAACUGACGCUGAGGCUCGAAAGUAUGGGUAGCAAACAGGAUUAGAUACCCUGGUAGUCCAUACCGUAAACGAUGAAUGCUAAGUGUUGGAGGGUUUCCGCCCUUCAGUGCUGCAGCUAACGCAUUAAGCAUUCCGCCUGGGGAGUACGGCCGCAAGGCUGAAACUCAAAGGAAUUGACGGGGGCCCGCACAAGCGGUGGAGCAUGUGGUUUAAUUCGAAGCUACGCGAAGAACCUUACCAGGUCUUGACAUACUAUGCAAAUCUAAGAGAUU
rnacentral:rRNA from 2 species